AAAAGAUUUAUGAUGUAGACAAACAACUUGAGAGAGAAAGCGUUGGGGUGAUGGAGGAGAAGCUGGUGAGCUCUGGGAUCACAGCUCUGAGAGGAUCACGGCUGCAGGUGGUGAAUCAUCUAAAUGUUGCAGUAAAAGUCUCUAGAGAGGCCUUUACGUGCCCCAUGGGGAUGUGAACAAGCCAGAGGAAUUGAAAGAGGAACACUGUCCAGUUGAAGAACCAUGACCAGAGUAGAAAACGCUGCAUAAUUGGAAAAUGACAUGCUGGAAACUCUGGCUCAGGACUCAGGAAAUCCCCACCGUCAGUUUCCUUGGGCUAAUGCACUGGGGUUGAAUUGGACACAAGCAAAGGCCAUAUCAGUCUGCAAGUGUGUCCCUGUCCCUAUGACAACAGGACAAGAUGACACCGGUCAAUUUAUGGAAUGACAUCAGUGAAGGCAGUUUGUCAUGAUGUAGUUAAAAGCCAUGAUUAUUUCCCUGAGCAAUUUUUCUACUUUUAUUCCUGACUCAAAGCUACCACAGACGAAUCAGAAAAGCAAAAAACCCAUGCUCGGAUAAGCAGCGAGAAAGAGGAACACGUUGUGAAUUCAUGUUCCUCAUUGUGAACAACCACAACCCUCAAGAUGUCCAUACCUCUUUCAAACAGUGGUUUUGACACCUGGGACUCUGCAUUUUUCCAAGGACACCAAGUUAUGAGAUUUUAAUCUAUGUGCAUA